UACCAGAUUACUAUUCAGAUGAUAAAAAAUGAAAAUUAUAUAUGUAUUAUAAUACACAUUUAUUCUUUGGAUUGCAGCAUAGAAUUACAUAAAACAAUUAAAUUAAUCAAAACCCAAACUUGUGCUCAGAUUUUUCUCUUUAUAAGUCUUUAUAUGCGCAUAUAUACACAUACAUACAUAGAGCACCACUCUGAUGGUGCACUCACACAUACAGAUGACAAAUCAAGACAAACGCUCCACAGAAUCAACAGUAGCAGUGACUGAUAAUGAUUAGUUAGGAUGACAGACAGUAAUACUGUUGACCAAGGUCAUUUCAAACUUAGCAUCUCUUCAGCUGAAAGUGUGAAAAGCUACAGGGCUGGAGGGGAUUUUUAUUUUUGCAGAAAUAACAGCAGGAGUGAACUCCUUGACUUAACAAGCACCAAACCCUCUCGUUAAGCUCCUAUUAGCCUUCCAUCAUUACACAGCUCAGCUAAAUAUGGCUGCUGGUACCUUGGAGGAACAUUGAUAUCAACAGACUUUAAAAUGCACCAGGAGGAGGAGGAGUUGUAUCUGAGUGUUCCUGGAAAGCAGACCCAGCUGAAACGUUCAGACAUGGCCUAAAGCUGGAAAAAAAUGCACCUGCAACAAGGCUGCACUGCAUCAACUGUUAGCUACAUAUUGCUUGUUUGUGUGGUUUAUUAUAAUAUUUGAAAACACACAGAAAAGGGAAGUGGUUGCAGCUGGGUCAGUAGUGAAGCACGUUUAACUGUCAGCUCUAAAAAUACGGUGGUUGAACAAUCUAGAUGGCCAAGAGCAUGGACGGAGGUAGUUACAGGAUGAAAAUUCACUACCAGGGCCGGAAAAUACAUUCUAGUCCAACACAAGUCCAAAGACAACAAAUAGAAAAUCUGAUUCCAUCGCAGGCAUCUGUUAUGGUGGGUUAUAGUUUCAAUGAUUUUCUAGUUGUCUUGUAUAGAACCCUGUGUGGAAGAAAGGCCUUUUUCAGGUUUUCCAGCAGCCACUAGGGGGCAACACAUCAGCCUUCCUCACACUCAAACAGUAGCCAUAUAUCUGCAUCAAUGUCAAGCAAAUUCAAAGCAAGCUUUUGAAAUAUCAAAAAAAAAAAAAAACCACAAAAAAACUAACAUUAAAAUAGGCUUGUUUCAAUGAACCAUUGUAGCGUGAACAAACUAAGCUGUGCAGAGUGGACAUGUACAGGCUGCGUUACCUAUGGCUGGAUUAAAGCAUGGAGGAAGGUGGAAACAAAACCACAAAACCUUGAAGAAGAAGGAACAAACAAGACUUGGUCAUCCAUGAGUGAAAAAUAGAGGUUGUCAGGAACUGUUUUCAGUCAGCAAGCUGUAACUAUUUAUUCAUGACAGUUUUGAUGGUAUUUGACAUGUUUUAUACUGUCUAAUGUUGAAGACAAUGAAAGAAGUGGAAGCAGCAGAUCAGUCAGAUGAGUUCAUCGUUUUCUAUGUGAAAACCUUUUUGAAAAAGGUGCUUCUAUCUACUGGGCACUUUACCUCUUUUUUGAAAAAGUUCAAAAUACCUCAAUUUGGUUCAAACAAUGUAAAACUGGGGACCUUUUUAAAAAAAAAGUCAUUUGCUGUUUCAUUUAACUUUUUCGAAUGCAUUACUUUAAAAUGCGCAUAAAAAUAUGAUAUGGAAACACAGGUAGUAAAAAAAAACAACAACAAAAAAAAAAAGGAUUCUGUGAUUCUGUGACCUAUUAAACAACUCUUUUAGUAGAGACUCUUUCAGUCAAUAAACCAGAAAGGGUUUCCAUGGUUUUGGAAUGACCCUAUUUUAAACACAGUAUGCUGAGGGUUUACUGUGAGUACAGCAUGUUCAGUUAGAGAGCUGAGAUAGUUCCUGCUAAAACCAGUCUGGUUCCAGGUUGAAGGGCAAGUUAAGGCAGGAGCUGCUCCAGACAGGUGAUCCUGUAGUUGGCACAGAACUACAGAAAUGCAACAUUUUGCACAAAGAUAUGGGGUGUAUCUAAGAAAAAUAAAAGCACUUAAAACAAUAAAAGUCAACAAAAAGGAAACACUGUGAAGGGCUGAAGACUCCUAGAGAUCUGUAUAGGCUGGACUUACACUACGAUCCAAAUCACAUGACAUAAAAAGAACUGAAUGUGGUUCUAAUGGUUGUUAUCACAUAACUAACAUUGCUGGCUUAGCCCUGACCUCAGAGGUGGAGAGGUGGAGACCACUGAAAUGAAUAUUGACUUUGAAUCUAUCCUGAUCUAAACACUCUUGUUGUUGUGCAGCUUCUUGGUAAAAUGUCUUGUUGCUCUGAGGAUGAUGUGCAUCUAUUUUAACUGAGGGAAGUUACAGAGAGGGUGUGUGCUGGAAGUAAAGACACAUGUUGUCAUAUCUUAUCACUAUAUGUGAGCUUAGUUCCGCUGUCGUGUAAAACAUUCCCUCACAAUUACACCAGUUUCUGUUAUUUUGACUUAAUAUAGAGUUUAGCAGUGAGUCAAGGACUAUAGCUGAAGACUACUGCUCCAAAACCUCAAAAUGUUAAACUGAGAGAAGAACAGGUAACUUGAGGACACCGGUUCAUAAAAAAGGUUGUAUUUUUUCUUCCAUAUACAUGUGUUCCAGUAAUGAACUCCUCAAUUCCUCUGGAGACUUUUGUGCAAAUUAAUAAUAGACACAUUGAUAUAAAAACAGUGUAUGGAAGAUGGUCACAUGGUUUCUGAGGCACAAUAACAUAAAAAGGACAUCCAGAAGCCUGAAGUGAUCUCAAACCCCUAUAAAGGUGUCUGAGCAGAGACCAGGUUGGGAAAAUCCACCAGCCACAGACCCUGGGACUUCUUAAAAAAAUUUUUUUUUUUAAAUUUGUUUUUGUUUUUUUUUUAAAGAGAGCAGGGAGGUCAAAAGUUUGUUGCUCUCAGCAAAAGUCCCAAGAAUUCAAAGUGACGUGACAGCUGGUGGUCAUUUCCCAUCUUGGCAAGGACUCACAGACAUGACUGAAUCAGAGCCAGGUCCACCCAACAGUCUCACACACACUACACAACCACACACAAGAAAACUUCACGUCCUUCCUUCAUUACCACCUAACGGUUACAAACCACAACAUUAUAUAGAUAUAUACAAAAAUGAACUAACCCAACAAGAGUCCCACCUACAAAACACUUCACAACCUGCCAAUCGAUGACAUACAGACAGCCACCAACCAGAGGACUCCAGUGUCCUGGGCUUUAAGGCCAGACAAUAAAUACACAGAUAAUAAACUAGACUAUGGUGAUAUACUGUGCCUCGUCUUAUAUUUCAAUUUACUGCAAUUCCAACAUUAUAGUUUCCUCAUUUCUCUUUAGAAUCAAUACAUAAUUGAUUUUCACACAGAAAAUAUUCUAGCCAUCUCUGCUUUAAGGCUCACAUGACAAAGUGCCACUUUUGUAGAAAUUUUAUCAUUAUGUCGGCCACUAAACCAAAAGCUCUGACUUCAGUUUGUCCAUUUGAGUCUCAAAAACAAACUAUUAAAAUUCAAUCGAAUGCACAGUAAGAGAUAUAGAGCGUUAGAUUCAAUCAAUUGAUCCAUUUACAGUUAAAUUUACAAUGCUAAUAGCAGCAAUUUCCAUGAAAUCAUUUGUGCAAUAUUUAUUAAAAUAAAAAGGCUUUAUCAAUUUUCAUGCGAUAAAGGCAUGUGUACAAGCAUUUAAAUAUAAAUAGUAAAGUCACGCCUCUCAAAUUAAGGAGACACAUGAUAAAAUGAAGAAAAGCAUGUACUCAUGAAGAUGAUAGUGUUUGGUCAUACUGCCGGUGUUAACAGCCCACAGUACGCCACAUGAUGCAUUUACAAGCAUCGUUACAUCAGAGAUUCCUUAGUAUACAUGGACAAACUGAAUGUCACCAUAGAAACAGCUACAGACAGCAAAACCUCCAUCAGCAGACAUCAGGAACAUGUCAACUAUCAGGUUUGUUCUCAACAGGAAAUACAUUGAGAGUUUCUGUUGUAAAUAAGAUUACAUUGUAAAGUGUCCCAAGUAAAGAUGAAGUAUUCAUUUUCCAUCUUUAAAUCAUCUCGUCAUGCUCACUUAGUGAGACAGCAACACUCCGACACUCAGACUGACAUUUAUCUUAACAUUAGGUAAAUCCAGAUAUUUAGUGUAGCAAUUCCAAGAAGAACUGUCAAAAUCAAAACAGCAGAAGCCAAGAAACUUUUGGUUUCUACAAUGAGUCGUACUCCAAAACUGUUAAAACUACAUCUCCCACAAUGAAACCUCAUAAAUGGUGAUAGAGCCGUGGUGACAGGGAUAUUUCUCAGACCUAUAAGGCCCUUCCUGAGCCACAGUAGUUAUCACAGUAUGAGUAAUAAACUGAGCUUCAUCUGUGACAUAGGUGAAAUGGUCCUGUAGCGUAUGGGUCAUUCCAUAUGAAGUCAACAGCUUUUAAGAAAAUUUCCCACUUGACCCGCUCAGAUUUUUCUAAAUUUUUACAUACGUAUAAAACAUUAUACAUGAUGGAAAAAUCC
ensembl:lncRNA